UUUAUUUAUUUUUAUCCAAAGUACACUCUGAAUUUCUCCUACCUUCUGAUAUAAAACUGAAUAUUUGAUUUAUUAAAAUUAAUUUAAAAUCUAAUCAAAGGAUGUCCAAAAACCUAUCAACAUAUCCAGCUUCCUACCAUCUCAAACUUAAUAAGCACACUCUCAUUUUGGCUUGGCAAGUUAAUAAACUGUACAAACAGAUAAUGAUUCUAAUACUACACCCUACCUCUCUGAUCUAGCAUGUCCUCUUUGAUUAACACUGAACUGUCCAUAUAUAUACAUUAUUAAGCUGUUCUAAUAUGAUGUGAUUUUCCUAACAAUUGUCAGUAUUUCUGAAAUCGUUCUUUGUGACCUGUAAAGGUCACAGAAGUAUUCCAAAGGUAUCAUGAUGAAAAUCCACAUCAGUAAUUUAUAUCCUGCCCAGAAUAACAGAGCAACUUCAGGAUUCAUGAAUGCAUGAAAGUUGCUGGAGAGAAAAGCAAUCCAAAGCAGGAGGAAGAAAGAAGAAAACAACAGAUUAUUACUGCAUUUCAUAUCAACACCUUCAGCCUGACUUUUGCAGACUUCUAUGCCAACAAACUUCACAGGCUUUCACAACUCUGGACUUUCCAUCCUUCUUUUCCCUCCCUUUUGCUCCCUGCUCAAAUGCUGCCUCCUGCAUGAAUUAUUUUCACUGAAUCAAGUUCUGAAUCAAAAGAGCCUAGAUAUGAGUUCUUGCUCCACUAUUCAACAGCUGUGAUCUGGGUCAAGAAAAUCAGCUUCCUCCUAUAUAGGAUGGGGACGAUUUGGUCAGUUUUCCCAUUGCUAGACACAGUAACUGGCACCCACAAUUUGAUGGAGUAAAUGCUUAAUUGGCUCAGGUUUUCCAUCUACGAUCAGCUGAUUCCAGAACAGAGACAUCAUGGGGGAAGGACUGGACAGAAACAAGCUGCUCAGUUCACGGGCCUCAGGAAGCAGCUCGGGAGAAAGGGUGCCAGGACAGAAGGGAGGAUGGACCACACACAGACCUCAAGGCCAGGCCUCCAUGUUCCAUCUAGACACACGUACAAAUGGACUCCACCAAUCCCUGAGCUUAGACCAAUGGCGGUUAGGUUGAAACUCUACCCUAAUGGCCACAGAUGAUAAUAGCUAUCCCAGGAGUAUAGUGGAGAUGAAAUGAGUUAAUGUAUAAAUAGCACUUCAAACUGUUGUGCCCAGAUCGCGAAGUCUCUAAAGACCACCAAGGAGCCGAUUCCGAUGCAAACACACGAGGGUCGUUUAUUUAAGCUCGAGCAGGGACUCACAACCGUCACCGGCGCAGAGGAUCAGGAUUGAGAGCCCCGAAUUUUAAAUCAGUAGGGUUUUUACUGUGGCUUACAGCAAGGCGAUCACAUUUCUUCUUGGCACCGUGAAGAACAGGACAUGAGGAAAGGAUGGACAGAGAAAGGCACCCGUGAAGAACAGGACAUGAGGAAAGGAUGGACAGAGAAAGGCACCGCUGGACAUGUCAGCAGACACAGACUGCAGGCCAAGGAGCGAGCAUGGGAAAUCAUGGAUUUCCAUCUAUUGCUCUGACAAACAUGGAAUCCCUGCCUUUGCGGACGCAACCCAUGAGGUCGAGACAUGAUGAGAAGUUUCCAGACCCUCAGUUGUUUCGUCAAAAAACUGAGAUCUCCUUGGCAAUGUGAAAAAUGUUAACGAUCCUACAGUGAGUAACAUACUAAGGUCUCUAUCCUCAGAACCUCACAUUCUAGUAAGAGACAAGGACAUCAAAUAGGUAUCCAGAAUAUAAAUGCAUACUAAUGAUAACUCAACUACAUGCAAAGUUUAAAAUCCCUCUUAAUUUUACAGUUUGCCCUAUAAACCAUGAUAAAUAUCCAUGAUUAAUUGAAUGGGGAAAUAAUUUGUUUCUUACCUGCUAUAUGAUGUGUGAUUAAAAAGUACAGUAUGAGUUUAACUUUUAAAAGUUUAUUAGAGUAAGACACUAAUCCUCCUCAAAAUACUGCACCCUUACUUUGAACACAUUUAUACCAUCCUCAGCGUGGUGAAAUUAAAAACCAAACCAAAAAAAUACAGAUAGAUAGAUCAUAGAUCCUACCAAGACAUUAGGUUUCAGGACUCUGGUGAAAGCCUUACUACUCAGGUAAUCAAAUAAAGCUCCUGGGCUGAAUUCUGGACCAGCACUUUUAGCCCUGUAAAUCUGGUACUGCAGAUCUAUCAAGGCGACGGAGACCCUGAGGUCUCACAGUUCUCUUGCCUUUUAUGAUGUAACCCUAUUUUAUUUCUUUUCCAAUAGUCACCCAUGGGCUUCACCAUACGCUGCACCUCACACUUUGUGAAGAUCAUCAGGAUAGUAGAGGCCAGCAAAACACCCCUCAUCCCCAAACUUACAUAGAAGGCACAGUGAAUACAAGAGGAACUUAGAGUACCAAUAGUGGGCAAGAUACAUCCUGUCGGGGAGAACUUCUUGGGCUACUUCUAUCAGACAGCCUAAUAAUCAGACUGUUAAAGGACACAAGGGCAUGUCACAGUAAGGUACUUGCCCCCAAAAGUGUGCAUUGCAUUCGCUUUUCUGAACACUGUUCAUAGGUUCAUAGAUCCUCUACCACAGUCUAAAAAUACUUCCAAAUGAUGACAGAGACCCUACAUGGACUCUCAGGUCUAAGAAAUGGCCCAGAAAUAAUUAUUCUAUUUAUCAAUUAUUCUAUUUAUCAAUAAUUAUA